rnacentral:rRNA from 1 species
GAGUUUGAUCAUGGCUCAGAUUGAACGCUGGCGGCAGGCUUAACACAUGCAAGUCGAACGGUAGCAGGAGAAAGCUUGCUUUCUUGCUGACGAGUGGCGGACGGGUGAGUAAUGCUUGGGAAUCUGGCUUAUGGAGGGGGAUAACUACUGGAAACGGUAGCUAAUACCGCGUAAUAUCGAGAGAUUAAAGACUGGGACCUACGGGCCAGUUGCCAUAAGAUGAGCCCAAGUGGGAUUAGGUAGUUGGUGGGGUAAAGGCCUACCAAGCCCGCGAUCUCUAGCUGGUCUGAGAGGAUGACCAGCCACACUGGAACUGAGACACGGUCCAGACUCCUACGGGAGGCAGCAGUGGGGAAUAUUGCACAAUGGGGGGAACCCUGAUGCAGCCAUGCCGCGUGAAUGAAGAAGGCCUUCGGGUUGUAAAGUUCUUUCGGUGGUGAGGAAGGUAUCAACUUUAAUAGAGUUGGUAAU